GAUGAACGCUGGCGGCGUGCCUAACACAUGCAAGUCGAACGGAAAGGCCCUGCUUUUGUGGGGUGCUCGAUUGGCGAACGGGUGAGUAACACAUGAGUAUCCUGCCCUUUACUUUGUGAUAACUUCAGGAAACUGCGGCUAAUACAGGAUAGGAGCUCCUGCAGCAUGUUGUUCGUUGGAGAUUUUCGGCUGUGGUGGAUCGUCUCGCUGCUUACGAGCUUGUUUGGUUAGUAGUUGCUGACCCCGCCUUUGACGGGUAGCCUGCAUGAGAGGGUGACCGGGCACAUUGGGCCUGAGGUACGGAGCAGACUGGUACGGGAGGCAGUAGUGGAGAACAUUGCACAAUGAGGGGACGCGUGAGGAAGAAACGUUGCGUUCGUGAUGACGGCCUUAGGGGUGUAAACCGCUUUAGCAUGUGACGAAGCGUGAGUGACGGUAAUGGGUAAAGAAGCACCGGCUAACUACGUG
rnacentral:rRNA from 1 species